rnacentral:rRNA from 1 species
UACGUAGGGUGCGAGCGUUGUCCGGAAUUAUUGGGCGUAAAGAGCUUGUAGGCGGUCUGUCGCGUCUGCUGUGAAAAUCCGGGGCUCAACCGGGGAAGUGCACCCGAAACUGCAAAGCUAGAGUCUCGGAGAGGAUCGUGGAAUUCUCGGUGUAGAGGUGAAAUUCGUAGAUAUCGAGAGGAACACCGGUGGCGAAGGCGGCGAUCUGGACGAUGACUGACGCUGAGACGCGAAAGCGUGGGGAGCAAACAGG